GGCUUCGGUCUGGUGGCGAGUGGCGAACGGGUGAGUAAUAUAUCGGAACGUACCUUUCAGUGGGGGAUAACGUAGCGAAAGUUACGCUAAUACCGCAUAUUCUGUGAGCAGGAAAGCAGGGGAUCGCAAGACCUUGCGCUGAUUGAGCGGCCGAUAUCGGAUUAGCUAGUUGGUGAGGUAAAGGCCCACCAAGGCGACGAUCCGUAGCUGGUCUGAGAGGACGACCAGCCACACUGGAACUGAGACACGGUCCAGACUCCUACGGGAGGCAGCAGUGGGGAAUUUUGGACAAUGGGGGCAACCCUGAUCCAGCCAUUCCGCGUGAGUGAAGAAGGCCUUCGGGUUGUAAAGCUCUUUCGGCAGGAACGAAACGGUCUCACCUAAUACGUGGGGCUAAUGACGGUACCUGAAGAAGAAGCACCGGCUAACUACGUGCCAGCAGCCGCGGUAAUACGUAGGGUGCGAGCGUUAAUCGGAAUUACUGGGCGUAAAGCGUGCGCAGGCGGUUUUGUAAGUCAGAUGUGAAAUCCCCGGGCUCAACCUGGGAACUGCGUUUGAAACUACAAGGCUAGAGUGUAGAAGAGGGGGGUAGAAUUCCACGUGUAGCAGUGAAAUGCGUAGAGAUGUGGAGGAAUACCGAUGGCGAAGGCAGCCCCCUGGGCUAACACUGACGCUCAUGCACGAAAGCGUGGGGAGCAAACAGGAUUAGAUACCCUGGUAGUCCACGCCCUAAACGAUGUCUACUAG
rnacentral:rRNA from 1 species